rnacentral:rRNA from 1 species
AACGAACGCUGGCGGCAUGCCUAACACAUGCAAGUCGAACGAGACCUUCGGGCCUAGUGGCGCGCGGGUGCGUAACGCGUGGGAACCUGCCCUUAGGUUCGGAAUAACUCCCCGAAAGGGGUGCUAAUACCGGAUAAUGUCUUCGGACCAAAGAUUUAUCGCCUUUGGAUGGGCCCGCGUUGGAUUAGCUAGUUGGUAGGGUAAAAGCCUACCAAGGCGACGAUCCAUAGCUGGUCUGAGAGGAUGAUCAGCCACACUGGGACUGAGACACGGCCCAGACUCCUACGGGAGGCAGCAGUGGGGAAUACUGGACAAUGGGCGAAAGCCUGAUCCAGCAAUGCCGCGUGAGUGAUGAAGGCCUUAGGGUUGUAAAGCUCUUUUACCCGGGAUGAUAAUGACAGUACCGGGAGAAUAAGCUCCGGCUAACUCCGUG